GACGAACGCUGGCGGCGUGCUUAACACAUGCAAGUCGAACGGAAAGGCCUGCUUUCCCUUGUGGAUUGCGGGUACUCGAGUGGCGAACGGGUGAGUAACACGUGAGUGAUCUGCCCCCAACUUGGGUAUAAGCCUGGGAAACUGGGUCUAAUUCCCGAUAGGACUGCAGGGUGGUGCCUGUGGUGGAAAACGAUUUUCUAGUGGUUGGGGAUGAGCUCGCGGCCUAUCAGCUUGUUGGUGGGGUAAUGGCCUACCAAGGCGGCGACGGGUAGCCGGCCUGAGAGGGUGGACGGCAACAUUGGGACUGAGAUACGGCCCAGACUCCUACGGGAGGCAGCAGUGGGGAAUAGUGCACAAUGGGCGGAAGCCUGAUGCAGCGACGCCGCGUGGGGGAUGACGGCCUUCGGGUUGUAAACUCCUUUCGACCGCGAGGAAGCCACCUGGUUGGAAGGGUGGUGACGGUAGUGGUAGAAGAAGCACCGGCUAACUACGUG
rnacentral:rRNA from 1 species